UCAAGUGAUCCACCCACCUCAGCCUCCCACAGUGCUGGGAUGACAGGUGUGAGCCACCGCGCCUAAAUUCUUGCUUAGGCAAAGCCAAGAACUCUCCUGGGCUAUGCCCCAAUCUGGGAGCUCACCUUCCCCGCAUCGUCGAGUGACCAGGAAAGGAUGAUGAGGACAGCGAGUGAGAGGCAGAGACUUUCAGCCGAGGCAGGGACAAUUAGCAGAGAGGCCAGAUGGCUGGACAGCAGAGAUGGUGACAGUCAGCGAUCCGCGGAGGGGUGGCAGUGGGUGAGAGACACGGAGAGGUGGCACUGGGCAAGACAGCGAGAGGUUGCUGAGACAGGUGGAGAGACAGCGAGGACAGGGCAGUCUGUGAUCAGGGCUCCAAGAGCGGUCACACUGAGGCCGUAAUGAUAAACAGCUGCUAAUACUGCAGAGCUGUCAUACGAACCAGAGGCUUUGCUCUUGGCGCCUUCCAUCUUUCCCUGGCUGGUGGUGGAGCUCAGCGACGGGCAAGCAGAAGUAGCUGCUGCCAUCAUCACAGUCUGUGCGUCUGUGCAAAAGGGGCAUCUUAUCCCAGAGAUAAAGUUUUGGGACACCAUGAAGUCAUCUCCUUGCUGACAGCCAUAGAAGACGUUCCUGCUUUCCCUCCACCUUCCGCCAUGAUUGUAAGUUUCCUGAGGCCUCCCCAGCCAUGCUUCCUGUAUGGCCUGUGGAACCGUGAGUCAGUUAAACUUCUUUCCU